UUUGAUAAGAUGACAUAGGAGA
rnacentral:miRNA from 1 species